AGAUGGCGACCGGCGCACGGGUGAGUAACACGUAUCCAACCUGCCGAUAACUCGGGGAUAGCCUUUCGAAAGAAAGAUUAAUACCCGAUGGUAUAAUCAGACCGCAUGGUUUGAUUAUUAAAGAAUUUCGGUUAUCGAUGGGGAUGCGUUCCAUUAGGCAGUUGGUGAGGUAACGGCUCACCAAACCUUCGAUGGAUAGGGGUUCUGAGAGGAAGGUCCCCCACAUGGAACUGAGACACGGUCCAA
rnacentral:rRNA from 1 species